GAUGAACGCUGGCGGCGUGCUUAACACAUGCAAGUCGAACGGAAAGGCCCAAGCUUGCUUGGGUACUCGAGUGGCGAACGGGUGAGUAACACGUGGGUGAUCUGCCCUGCACUUCGGGAUAAGCCUGGGAAACUGGGUCUAAUACCGGAUAGGGCCACAUUUUGGAUGGUGUGGUGGAAAGUUUUUCGGUGUGGGAUGAGCUCGCGGCCUAUCAGCUUGUUGGUGGGGUAAUGGCCUACCAAGGCGUCGACGGGUAGCCGGCCUGAGAGGGUGUACGGCCACAUUGGGACUGAGAUACGGCCCAGACUCCUACGGGAGGCAGCAGUGGGGAAUAUUGCACAAUGGGCGCAAGCCUGAUGCAGCGACGCCGCGUGGGGGAUGACGGCCUUCGGGUUGUAAACUCCUUUCGCUAGGGACGAAGCGUUAUGUGACGGUACCUGGAGAAGAAGCACCGGCUAACUACGUG
rnacentral:rRNA from 1 species